rnacentral:lncRNA from 1 species
GGGGGAAGUUACCCUCAUACUGUUCUUGUGAUAGUGAGUUCUCAUGAGAGUGGAUGGUUUUCUUAAGGGCUUUUCCCCUUUAGGCUCUGCCCUUCUUCUUCCUGCCACCAUGUGAAGAAGGACAUGUUUGCUUCCCCUUCUGCUGUAAUUGUAAGUUUCUUGAGGCCUCCCAGCCAUGCUGAACUGUGAGUCAAACCUCUUUCCCUUAUAAAUUACCCAGUCUCAGGUACGUCUGUAUUGGCAAUGUGAGAACAGACUAAUACAAUGUGUUAUCUAUUCUCAUUGAGAAUCUCAUUCUUGGUACACUUUGCAUGCUUAUCUAUUUUACACAUAUUUUUCUUGCUAUCUCACUAUCUUGAGUCAUAAAAGUGUGCAUAAUGAGAAUAAUUACUUUUAAGCUUGUGUGUCCUUCAUUUCACAGUACAUUUAAAAUAUCCAGUCUGUAAAAGGUUCAGAGUAACUUCCCUUUUUUCCUGAAAUAACUACCAAUUCAACAAGGUGUUUAUUGGUGGCAGCAUGGUCCAUUAACACAAUCCCUCAGGACUUGCACUACUAUGAUGAACAGAUUCUGCUAUGGAAGUAACAUCCCUGGCAAUAAAAAUAUACUCUCUUUUCAGAGCCAUUACCUUCAGCAAUUAAAUCUCCUAAAAGUGGAAAACAUAUUCUUGAAAAUUGCUGAGAGUAGAUUUUGUGUUCUCACCACAAAAAAAGGAUAAGUGUGUGAGGUAAUGUAUAUGUUUAUUAGCUUGAUUUAGCCAUUUUACACAUCUUUCAAAACAGUCUGUACACAAUAGGUAUAGGUAAUUUCAUUUGACAACUAAAUAUAUUAUUAAAGUAGAAAACAUUUUUAAGUCUUUUCACUAGGUCAUCUCAUUGGAAAAUAAUAUUUGUCUUUCUAUGCCUGGCUUAUUCCACUUAGCAUAGUGUAUCUCAAGUUCAUCAUACUGUAUGACCUCACUUAUAUGUGAAAUCUAAAAAUGUGCAACUUAUAAAAGCAGUGUGGAAUGGUUGUUGUCGGGAACUGGAGGUCGGAGAAAUGGGGAAAUGUUUGUUGAAGGCUAUAAACUUUCAGUUAUAAAAUGAAUAAGUUCUGAAGACCUAAUGUGUAGCAUGGUGAAUAUAGUUAAGAAUACUGUUACUUAAAAUAUGCUAAGAGAGUAGAUCUCACAUGUCUUCACCAUAGACAUACACACAUACAAAAAUAGUAACUGUGUGUGGUGUUGGAUAUGUUAAUUAAUUUGUUUGGGAUAAUCAUUUCACAAUGUAUACAUUGUAUACAUACAUCAAAUCAUCAUGUUGUACACCUUGAAUAUAAACCGUUUUUGUCAAUUAUACCUCACUAAAAUUGGAGAAAAAUGAAGUGUAAAUAAGGCAGUGACAGUGGGAUAUUUUUGCUUCCUUACAAAUAACUUUCUAAUCUGACUUGCACUUUGAAGUUAGGUUGUUCCACCAAAGUAAUUUUGUUCUUUUAAGAAUUCCCUAAUAUUAACAUUUUCAGUUUUAAAAUGCUUGUUUUGUAAUUUUAAAACCUCAUUUAUUACUUCUGUUGAUAAUACUGUAUAAAACUGCAUGUCUCACCAUAGCUGCCAUCAGUAAAAAUUAAACUUCUUCAGGUUAACUGCUGAGAGGUCACAAAAGUAAAGAUUUGAUAGAAUACAAAGAGAAAGUUAAAGGAGAAAUUAUGGGAAAACAUAAGGUUGUGGCAUGAUGGCCACCUGCGGUGCAAUGGACAGAGACAAAACCUAGAUUCUUUCCAAGAUGAAAUUUAACAAACGAUAUAGCCCCUCACCCUUACACCCACAACACAUACACACACACACACACACACACACACACACACACACACAGAUACAUACACACACACACAGUGCUGUAAUCAAUAUGGUCUACAAAAUAAAAGUGGGCAAAAAAUAAACUAUUUUUCAAAGAGAAGACAUAACAAAACCUAUGUAUUUGACUUUUUAGUACUGAGAAGGGGGAGAAAAGAAAUACAUUCACCUUGAGAUGUGUAAUACCUAGUGGACCAUAUAUGAUUUUUGUAGUCCAAAAUUUCUAGACUUUGUAGAAAAAAAUGUACAUACCCAGAAAAAUCUAAAUAAACCCAAACUUAUAAAAAUACAAUUAUUUUCAAGGUGAAAAUUUAAUUGCAGUUCUCUAAAGCAAUACUCUUGAAUAACUAAUGGCUACAAAGACAAAUCCUCUCUGAAAGAAUGUAACUUAACUCUUGUAUCACAGUAAUUCCAAAAAUUCCAAGAAAACAAGUUAUGUAAAAUAAAAAACAAAAUCAUAAACCAUGUAGAAUAAUGUACCAAAAAUGAAGGUCAGGGCAAAAAAAAAGGCAAUAAGUUGAGUCAAAAUUGUUAGACACUAAAAUAAUCAGAUAUAGAGUACAAAGUACAUAUAUUUAAUACAUAUAAAGAUAACAGAACAUAAUAUAAGCUAAGAAGAGAAUUCUACAUGAAAAGUGGUAAAAUACUUUGGGGGAAGAAACCCAAUUUAGAAAAGAAAAUAUAAUGAUUCGAUAAUCAUUCAAUUGGUGGAUCAUACAGUCGAAAUUAAAACGUGUAAUAACAUUCUAUGUUGUUAAAAGCAUGUAAUUGAGGGAUUGGAAUAUACAUAAGAAAAGGGACAAUGGUAACUAGGAAACUGGUGGGCUAAAGCUGAAGGGGGGAUGAUGUCGAGAUCUGAAGAAAUUAUCUUUUAUGCCACUCAGAGAGAGGAAAAAAAGAGAAGACAAUAUGAAUAAUAAUAUGAAAAAGAGAUGGUGAAAUGAAAGUUAGAAUGGGAAGAUGUAAUAUAUAAUUUAUUGAAGUUGUAUACAAACAAAAGUAAGAAUGGGAAAGCAGAAAUAUCUAAUGAGAUAAUAGAUAAGAAUUUGACAAGAUUAUUCAAAGAUGUCAUAGACCUAAGAAUUUUAUCAAAACUUAUAGGAUAAGCAAAUAUCCUAUAAGUUGUUUAAAAUAUAGAUACAUCAUUGAAACUAAAUACUAUAAAGAGAAUAAGAUAUUAAAAUCAGUUAAAGUGGGAACAAUGAUCUACAAUGGGUUUACAAUUAAAAUUAUAACACAUUUUUUAAUAGCACAAUAGAGGCCAGAAGACAAAAAAUAAUGUUUGAAGUUCUAAGAGAAAAUGGUCUCCAAUUUUCAAUUUUAUAGAGGGCUAAAUUAUCCUAUCUGGUCUGGUGCAGUGGUUCACGCCUGUGGUCUCAGCACUUUGGGAGGCCAAGGCAAGCAGAUCAUUUGAGGUCAGGAGUUCAAGACCAGCCUGGCCAACAUGAUGAACACUGUUUACUAAAAAUACAAUAAAUAGCCCCCUGUAGUGAUAUGUGCCUGUAGUUCCAGGUACCUGG